rnacentral:rRNA from 1 species
UGAGGAAUAUUGGUCAAUGGGCGAGAGCCUGAACCAGCCAAGUAGCGUGCAGGAUGACGGCCCUAUGGGUUGUAAACUGCUUUUAUAUGGGGAUAAAGUGAGGGACGUGUCCCUUAUUGCAUGUACCAUACGAAUAAGGACCGGCUAAUUCCGUGCCAGCAGCCGCGGUAAUACGGAAGGUCCAGGCGUUACCUGGAUUUAUUGGGUUUAAAGGGAGCGUAGGCUGUUUGUUAAGCGUGUUGUGAAAUGUAAGAGCUCAACUUUUAGAUUGCAGCGCGAACUGGCAGACUGGAGUGCGCACAGCGUAGGUGGAAUUCAUGGUGUAGCGGUGAAAUGCUUAGAUAUCAUGACGAACUCCGAUUGCGAAGGCAGCUUACGGGGGCGGAACUGACGCUAAAGCUCGAAGGUGAGGGUAGCGAACGGG